ensembl:misc_RNA 7SK 7SK RNA
GGAUGUUAGGUAUGGUCAGGUUGUAACAUCUGUCAUCACAAUAAUCACCAAGGUCUAUAUGAAUGGUCUCACUGGUAGAUUGGUGUUCCCUUCCUUUGUCACUGCCCCAUUCACAUCUCUCUAAAAGCUGCACAGAUGGGGGAAGAAGAUAACCUUAACUGAUGGAAGAGGGGCAGUUUUUGGUUAAGAGUAGCUGAGUAGCUGUGCUCAGCUCUCAAGUUCCAAAAACAGUUCAGAAAGUCGAGAGACAAAUAGUACUUUGCUUU